rnacentral:misc_RNA from 1 species
CCAAAUGUCAAUGAAGAUGACACAAAGUUGAUUGGAGUUGUGCGGGAGGGGGCUUGUUUUUACUUUUUAGCAGUAGCAAGGUCGUUCUUUGUGUCAAAAAUUCACGACUUGUGACGAAUAUUCAGAUUUUUAUUAUUUAUUAGUGAGUUGAGUUACUGUUUGUGCUCCGUAACAAAGGUCAACAGUGCGCGCAUGUCGUAAAUAGCGAUUAUUUAAAUCAGCUCGUAAUAUCGAACGGUCCAAUGAGUUUGGGAGGAGGUCACAGUGCUGAGGGAUCAAAUGGUGGAGGAAUAUUCGUCCAAUUCAACCAAGACUGCACGUCCCUGGUAGCGGGCAGCAGCAGUGGGUACCACCUUUUUGCGCUAACUCCUGACGAUGGAAUUGAGGAAAUCUACGCGAGCCGGUCAGGACAGGACACCUGCCUGGUGGACAGACUCUUCAGCAGUUCCCUGGUGGCUAUUGUCACUGUUGCAGCUCCCAGGAAGCUGAUCGUGUGCCACUACAAGAAGGGCACGGAGAUCUGCAACUACAGCUACAGCAACACCAUCCUCGCCGUGAAGCUGAACCGCUCGCGCCUCGUCGUGUGCCUGGAGGAGUCGCUGCACAUCCACAACAUCCGCGACAUGAAGAUCCUGCACACCAUCCGCGACACGCCGCCCAACCCGCGCGGCCUGUGCGCGCUGGCGCCCAGCGCCGAGCUGUGCCACGUGGCCUACCCCGGCAGCAGCGCCGUGGGCGAGGUGCAGAUCUUCGACUGCGUGCACCUGCACGCCAAGUGCGUGCUCAGCGCACACGACAGCCCGCUGGCGGCGCUGGCGUGGUCGGCGUGCGGCCGCCGCCUGGCCACGGCGUCCGAGCGCGGCACCGUCAUCCGCGUGUUCCUGGUGCCCGAGCGCACGCGCCUCUACGAGUUCCGGCGCGGCGUCAAGCGCUGCGUGGCCAUCGCGUGCCUGGCCUUCAGCGCGUGCGGUGCCUACCUGGCCGCCACGUCCAACACCGAGACCGUGCACGUGUUCCGCCUGGCCGAGCCGGCGGCGGCCGCGGGCGCCGCGCCGCCCGCCGACGGCUGGAUGGAGUGGCUGUCGUCGGCCGUGUCGGCGGGCGCGGGCUACCUGCCGGCGCAGGUGGCCGACGUGCUGGCGCAGGGCCGCGCGUUCGCCGCCGCGCGCCUGCCGCGCGCCGCCAAGCGCGCCGUGGCCGCCGUCACCAACGUGGCGCGCGCGCCGCGGCUGGUGGUGGCCACGGACGCGGGCGCGGUGCACGUGUUCGCGCUGGACGCGGCCGAGGGCGGCGACUGCGCGCUGCUGCGCACGCACCGCCUGCUGGACGCGCCGCCGCCGCACCGCGCGCAGGAAGCCGCGUCGGGCUGCAGCUACGCGGGCGCGCUGCGCGGCCGCCAGCCGGACGCCAUGACAGAGUGUUGGGGGCGUUGCGAGUGUACGGAUGCUGUGUCGGCAGAGUCGGAGCGCGCGAGCGAGCUGGGCGCGGCGCUGGCGGGCUCCCCCCCGCGCGGCGCCUUCGACCUGCGCGACCAUCGCCACUUCCCGCCCAUGCGGACCGCAGCCGAGCCCCCCGCCGAGUAGGCCCCCACCCGCCGGCACUGACAUCACAGUACUGAGUGCCUAGUGGGAGUCUUCAAUGUUUACAAAUUCGCGUUUACGGUUACGCGAUAGUCACAGUGUGAAAACUACUUACAUAGAAAACUACCACUAGUCACACUUCAAAUGUGGAGACUCGUUUAUCCAGACCUUUUAGACACACACAUCGCGAUAACAAUAUACGGGUUAGUCAAAGCAUUAUUAAUCUACAAACUAGUGUAUUUUACCGUAUAUUUUACUUACAUUCGUGCAGCAAAAUAACAAACUACCCAUUAACGUUGAAUAUCGGGGAGAUAUCCGAUUAGAGGAAUAGGCAUUGCCAAUAUAACCAUUGAAGUGUAUAUACCAUAUCAAAGGUCACCUAUACUUUGGUUUUUAAUAACGGCCCGCACAUUGCCAGUCUUUAAUAUACCUAACAUGCAAUCUACGACACAAAUCUCGUUAAGAGAAAAAAUCAUUAUCGACUAAUGGCAGUCAAGCCAAGCAACAUCGCUCUCUCUUUCGUAGUAUCGCAACGAAAGAAAUAGCCAGGUGCGGCGCUAUUGAUCUAUAGGAUGUCAUUUUGUCUUAUGGAAAUAUAUCGUGGGUCGCACGUUAGUCCUACCUACUGAACAGUUCAACGAGCUACUAACACUUGACCAUCUAAACGUAGCCAUAGCCAUAUGACAAAGAACAGCAAGCGAUAGAUAAUCCAUACACAACUGGGCGAGCUAGAAGCAAAUACCUUCAUAAAUUAAUUUAUAACCAAACUUUAAUUGUCCAAAUACCUUGCGAUAACAAUUUAUUAGUCUGCUUAAUCGAGUCUCCACUGUACUACCAUUUUUAUAAGUUGCGUCGCCAACCUAUCGACAACUAUAACUGACUAAAUAAUUGACAAUUAAAUAUAAACCUUAUUGCUUUAAGUUAAGGUUCUCAACACAAGAACGAUACUAAACAUAUGCGUAACUUUAAACAUAGCGCGUACGUGACGUAUCAAUUGCGUCUUAUAAAAAAAAGACAUCGGCGUAACUUAUAAAAGUGGUAAUACUGUAACAAAAUACACAACACAAUCGCUUCUUUAUGCCCUACUCGAUGUGUACUGUUUACUAACAAACAAAUUAAAAAUGAGGGUAUAAAUUGCUAGUUAUUUCACACCUA